rnacentral:lncRNA from 1 species
CUGAGUCACUGGGUGGACAGCUGCCUGGGACCGUUACCCACACUCACAGAAGAUUUUAUGUGUAAGGCAAAUAUAUUUUUGUGUGCUAAGCUAAUGAGAUUUUGGGAUUUUGUUGUGGUAGUUGUUACUUCAGCUUAGACUAAUUUAUCUUGACUAAUAUAAUAACUGCAUAAUUUGAGAGUGAAAUAAGAGAAGGGUAAAUUCUCAACCAUUAUAGGAAGUAGCCUUGUGAAAGCUUAAGUCAUUUCUAGUUCUUACCCAUUUUGGAGGCUUCUCAGGCAACAACAAAGAGACUUCAAAGGCUUGAUGGCAGAAUGCCCAUCUUGCGGGUCCCUGAUGGUCACAUAGGAGCCACAAGGGCCUGGUAAACGUUGUCAGGACACUCCUGAUUUCCCACCAGAGGGAGAAUAGCCUCCAGUUAGGAGCUAGUCUCAUCAGUUAACAGAGUGAAGAAUGUCAGUUGGAAAAUAUCAGCUCCUAAGGUCAGCUCGAGGCACCAGCCACACAGUGGGACACCCGUGAAGGUGGGUUGAUAGGGAGCUCUGAAAGCCUGAAGAAGAGGCACAGAGCCCCUAUUGAGAACCUUCUGAAAGGCUGACCUCACAACAGAGCCCUCUGAGGCUCUCACCACACCUGAUCCAGCAUCUGGCACACAGCAGCAUUCCAGCCAAUGACAAAUGCACAAAACCAAACAAAGGACAGUCUUGGAGGAAGUUUCUGACAGGCCUUACAGGGCCUGGAGAAUGGUGUGUCUCCAUAAAUACCCUUGAGGAACAUCUGAUUCUCCUGCAGGCUACUCCUGGAUCUUCCAGGACACACACAAACCAUCUACUAAUACCUGCAGGAAGCCCACAUUUGCUCUCAUCCGAUGCCGAAGGCAUACACUAGAAGAUGCUUGCAGGAGCUUUGUUCAUACACCCGCAGAAGGAUGAAGACAGUCCCCCAUCAGCUCGACAGCACUUCAAGUGUGGUAGAGCUUGUCAUGUCACAGAAGAAUGACAGAUGAUAUUUAGCGACAUUCCUGGCAACUAAUUUCAUUGGUUGAGAAUGUCGUUGUAAAGAGCUCUCAGCCUAGGGCGAGGUAAUUAUUGCCUUCUUAUGAAUUCAAGAACUCCGAGAAUGGAAGCUUAAAGAUGCACGAAUAAGCUUUGUUUCUGCCAUGUUUUGAUGGGCAAG